UACGGAGGGAGCUAGCGUUGUUCGGAUAUACUGGGCGUAAAGCGCACGUAGGCGGUCUUUUAAGUCAGGGGUGAAAUCCUGGAGCUCAACUCCAGAACUGCCUUUGAUACUGAGAGACUUGAGUCCGGGAGAGGUGAGUGGAACUGCGAGUGUAGAGGUGAAAUUCGUAGAUAUUCGCAAGAACACCAGUGGCGAAGGCGGCUCACUGGCCCGGUACUGACGCUGAGGUGCGAAAGCGUGGGGAGCAAACAGGG
rnacentral:rRNA from 1 species